rnacentral:lncRNA from 1 species
GUAUAGAAAGAGGAUAUACCAACCCAAAUAAUAUGUAUAUAUAGAAUUGUGCUCCUAUGCUUUUAAAAGUACCAAGUUGUUGAUGCUUGUAGAUUUUUGACCAUUGGAUUAAGGGAUGUGCGGUUAUGAUGAUGUGGGUCCCUUAAGGUUGAGUAGGUAGUGGGUUGAAUAGUAUAAUCUAACGGUUGAAAAUGAUCAAAGGCAUAGAUCUAACGGUGGAAAACUCGAUAGCACUAAAUCCUUGGUGCUAUCGAUAGUAUCCCCACCAAACUCUAUAUAUAUAUAUAUAUAUAUAUA